UACAGAGGUCCCGAGCGUUGUUCGGAUUUACUGGGCGUAAAGGGCGCGUAGGCGGUCAGCACAAGUCAGUUGUGAAAUCUCCGGGCUUAACUCGGAAAGGUCAACUGAUACUGUGCGACUAGAGUGCGGAAGGGGCAACUGGAAUUCUCGGUGUAGCGGUGAAAUGCGUAGAUAUCGAGAGGAACACCUGCGGCGAAGGCGGGUUGCUGGGCCGACACUGACGCUGAUGCGCGAAAGCCAGGGGAGCGAACGGG
rnacentral:rRNA from 1 species